GAGUUUGAUCGUGGCUCAGAUUGAACGCUGGCGGCAGGCCUAACACAUGCAAGUCGAGCGGUAGAGAGAAGCUUGCUUCUCUUGAGAGGCGGCGGACGGGUGAGUAAUGCCUAGGAAUCUGCCUGGUAGUGGGGGAUAACGCUCGGAAACGGACGCUAAUACCGCAUACGUCCUACGGGAGAAAGCAGGGGACCUUCGGGCCUUGCGCUAUCAGAUGAGCCUAGGUCGGAUUAGCUAGUUGGUGAGGUAAUGGCUCACCAAGGCGACGAUCCGUAACUGGUCUGAGAGGAUGAUCAGUCACACUGGAACUGAGACACGGUCCAGACUCCUACGGGAGGCAGCAGUGGGGAAUAUUGGACAAUGGGCGAAAGCCUGAUCCAGCCAUGCCGCGUGUGUGAAGAAGGUCUUCGGAUUGUAAAGCAC
rnacentral:rRNA from 1 species